UUGUUAUCUGUUAUUUGUUAUCCAAAAAAUCCAGCAAUGUUCUUCUCACGUUUCAUUGUUAAAGCUGUAAUCUCUGCUCCAGAUGUCUCACCAGGGCUCAACCAGAUGUGUGCCGUCGUCAGUUCUAAGAGUGGAAUGACCAUGCUGAUUAGAAUCAACGAGGAUGUUAAAUAUUUACACCAACUGGUGCCUCAUUUCACUCAGAUCGCUGAAACAUCAGGAAAAUACAAGGAAGACGUGUCACUGGGCAGAGUCUCUCACAAAGCGACUUAAACAGUUAAGAAGUGGCUAUGCUAACAAAAGCUAACGGUUUGGCAGUCUGAACAACCUCUCUGCUCCUUCCUCGCCACGCAAGGACAGAAACAGCAGUCGUCUCUUUCACUGAAGGCCUCCUUGUUCCCAUUACCUAACAUCUGUGCUCACCAACACGCACAUUCCCAAACAGACGCUGUUCUGAGAGCACAGCAGAGAAAUCUGUGUCCUUCUGCGUUCCCCUGCAGCCGGCCUCCUAGAGGCUUGGCUGAAACGCACGGCGACCCGAACCCCGAUCCGGCGGUCGACUCGACGCAGAUGCUCUGGCGAACCCGGAGCCCAGGAGCAGAAAGGCCCUCUAGGCGUCGUUGCAACAGAUUUCAUCUGACACAAACAACAGAAAAACCAUCUGGAAGUUGUUUUGGUGUCACUUCAUCGGAGACAGAAAGAAUGCAAACACACGCCGCAGCCAAACCUGAUCAGGAGCCAGAGACGGUGUCGGCCAUGUUUAAUUGACUGAAGGUGCUUGUCUAGGGAGGCGGAGCGCACUAAUUGGCCGCCGAUACAGGUGUCAGCAGAGGCUGAUUAAAGCCAAAAUAAAAGGAGCCUGGAUGGAAGGAGGGGGAGAAAAAGCCAACCUGUUUCUGUAGGCUACAGAAACCGACACGCCGCGGAGCGAGGGGAAGACGGAAUCUGCACGUCAGGCGCAGAAGAUCGGGAGCUGAAUAAACGGCCCAGUACAGAGGAUUAGGGCAGAGGAGAACCUCUGCCCGCGCCUGUAAGUAGCGCUCUAUUUUGAUCAGAGAGUAGCCAUUAGCAGGAAGUACGUCUUCCGGCGGAGUUUUGGUGCGGGGAUGCUGGCGCUUUCCUGCUCUUUCUUUUAGCUGGAUCGGGCGGAAGAGGGGCGUUGCACGCCGAAGAGUGGAGCGGUGCUGGAGCAUCGUCCCGUCAGCUGGGGAUUGGCAACGGAGUGCGCUGCAGACGGAUUACCUCCACCAGAAGCAACCUAAGAAGCGGAGCCCAGCCCGUGGCCUCGGAUUGGUGACUUUUAGACAAUUACUGAGCCCUGGAUUUUAUUGAGGACAAGAGGGCGGUUUUAUUGUGUCACUAUUCGUGACUUUUAUUAUUUUUUUGGUAAUAAAAUACCUUGCGCCUGAUUGCUUUGCCGUUUGGGUUUUUGAGUUGUUUGCUCUCCCUUGUACCAAGGACAGAGUGUGGGGCCAUAUUGGCUGUCAACAUUAUUGUGGCGCUGUGAGCAGGGUUCGAACCUACGCGGGGAAACCCCAUUGGAUAAACAGUACGGUACUUAGUCUUCUUCUUUGUCUCUUUAAGUCCAGAUCAUCAAGAGUCCUGGUUCCUCUCCUAAACUCUCUGAUCCAUGGUUUUUGUGGAACAAUAUAUGACAAAAAUGACUUAUUUAUCAUUGCACAGUUAUUGCGAAAUACUAUAAUGGCUUAUGUGGUGUCAGUGUUUCAUUUUUGAGAAACAAUAGAAUUUUUAUUUUCAGAGCCAUUUUUCAAAGUGGACAUUUUUGACCUUCAUAAGGUGAGGGCAGGAAAAACAGAAGUUUCAAGCGCCACUCCUGAACAGUUAAUUAGCAUGUAAAUAAUGGGACCGGUUUGUGGUCUGGUGAAACGUUCUACAGUAGAUCUGAGAGAUAAUCAGUGCCUAAAUAUCUAUAAAUAAAUAUUUCAUGACUAAAUAUUAAAAACCUUUUUUUUCUCCCAAAGCUGUUGUUAAAUUGUAAACAUAACAAUGUCUGUGUUUGCAUUUUUGCACUUUUACUAUUUUUUGAUUUCUUCGUGUAUAGAUUGGGAUUGUGUUUUGCCAUGAAUCAAAAACCUAUGACUUGACUUAAUGGUUGUCAUGGACACCUGGUGAACCAGAGAUGCUACUUUCUGCUGCAGUUCUCUAACAGAGAGCCUUGGAGAUUAGAGUUGUGUCUCCUUUACCAUCCAACUCACCGUGUGACGUGAAAAGACAAACAUGGAUUCUCGGGAAAGCUAGAGUGGAUAAAGGGAAUGGUCCAGUGUCGCAUCCUUUUUAUACCCCAGGGAUACAGAAAGCCGCACAUUAUCAAACAAAAGUUCCUCGAGUUUUGAUCGGUCUAGAAAAAGUACAAACUUAAACAAUAAACCAAAGGAAUUGUUUGAGUGGCUAAUAAUUUAAACACUGAUUAGCCACUCAAAUAACAAGAACAAGAAAAGUACUCUGUAAUUCAGCAGUAUGAAGCAUAUAUGGAUUAGUUCGGAGGUUCAGGCCAUAAGGCAAAGGAUAAACUGGAGGAUUUAUCCUUCUAUACAAGGAUAAAUCCUUUCAUUUUGAUUACAUGUCGCAGUUGAGCUGGGAGAGAGCAGAGAGGCGUCAUUUCACAGCAGGUAGAGUUGAAAAAUCUGCAAAGCAUCGACGUCGCUCUUCAACAAAAGAAAUCUCCAGGCUUCUGGAACUUAUCGUUUUUGGAGAAAAUUCCAUUUCUGAAUGUGUCGGCUUGAAAUUGUAUUCCAAAUCACCUUUCACAGUUCAGCGUUCGUCUCAGCAGGCCGCUCUGACGUCCGGCUCUCCCACUCUCACAGCGAAACGCGACAAAUUAUACUCUUCCACAUGUUUCUGAAGGCAGUGGGUGAAGCGGAGUGAUUUUUCACUCAAGCACAAAACGGCAGCCCUUCAUUAGACAAUGUAAAGCUAAUUAGCAUGCCAUUAGCAACGCCAGUCCAAGCAUUCCCGCACAUGAUGAAACCGUUCAGAGUCAAGUCUGACUACAGGACCAAACUGGACUUCCUGUUCAUGAAUCAGCCCGGCACCUUCCUCACAAACAUGAAAUUAAUAAUUAUGUAUAAAGAUGCACCGAUCCAAUAUUAAUAUUGUUAUCUAUCCCAAUUCUGAAAACAAUUCUAGCUCGGUAUCGGUGACAAUGUGCCCUAUCCGUAAGGGCAGAUCUAUUCAUUGUAAUUCUAUGUUUUGUGCUUUUUGGCGACGUCAUGCUUUAUUACUUAUUUUACAUAAAAUUUUACAUUCCUAACUGUAAUUUCUGAACCAUUCUGAGAGAAGGUUUGUUGCAGUUUAUUUUUUUAAUUUUUGACCAAAUUAGUCAACCUAUUUUUUUUGUCAGCUUCUGUUUGUUUAUGUCACAUUGGCUGUUAUGCUCCUAAUUGCAGUGACGAAACAAAUUAAAGUUGUUUUUACAUGUUUGACCAAACUAAGUGAACUAUACAUUUGUAGUUCAGUACAUUUAUUUCUGUGUACUAAAAAAAA